UGUCGACCAGCUCAUGAACUGCUCAUGUUGUGUCUUAGAGGCAAAUAGACUGCUUUUUGUCAUCAGAUAUUUUAGUGCAAUUAUGGCGGAGUGGCCCAGUGCCUAUGUUUUGAAUCUCAAGAUGUAUCCUGUUAGAUUGAUGUUCUUUUGUUUUUGGUCGUCUGGAAUUCCAGCUACUUUAUUUUGUCAUAUGCUGUUCUUAGAGCAUCUGUUGUGCACAACAUGUUUUCAAGUUUUUUGUAGGAAGUGCUUGUCAUCCCUUUCGAAACAUGGCAUGGGAUUUUUUUUCUUCUUCAACAAAUGUGAGACCCAUGGAGGCUGA
rnacentral:lncRNA from 1 species